GGCAAUCAUUGUCACUAUUGCUAUAGUUUUGCCAUAAGCUGAAACCUGAAACCUGAACCAGGAAAGGCAGUGUCCUGUGCUCAGGCCCAGAGGCAAGAGGGAGGGCAGCAACAUACCCAGAUCGCAGGAGCCGAUGGGCUGGAGCCGGGGAGCCUGGGUGAGCGUGGCCAAGACAGCCCUGCAGAGCCAGGCUACAGACCUGGGCCCUCCCGUCCCGCAGAGCUGCAGGGUCAGGCUUGCCUGUGAUGUACUCACUCCCACUGAAGUGUGAAGGGCACACAGAGGCCAGCAAGGGAGGAGGAGGCUCUGGAGAUCCAGGCAGAUCCUGGAGAACCUUAAUAACAGAUACCUACUCUAUGCCAGGCACCAUUCUAAGUCUGAAAACAAAGUUCAUCACAGCUCAAGGGAACACAUGGAUGUUUUCUAAUUCCUUGAAUUAUAUGCCUUUUCCUUCAAGCUGGAGGCCCGGAAGUGUGCAGAGGACAGUGAGGGGCCUCAAGUGUGGACAUCACAUGAGUACUGAAGAAGGACCCCUAGGGCUUCCGUGAAAAGAGGCCUCCAAUUGCAAAGCUGCUUUCUAUCAGACGAGGUCACGGACAGUAGUGAGGAGUGGCAGGCGGGAGGGGUGCCUGGCUGCCGGCCCACCCCACCCAGGACGAGGCAGCCCUCAGCGGAAUGGAAGACUCUGUGGCCAGUGCUCUUUGGGGCCUUGGCACCAGGUCCUCAGCAGCUGGGCCAGCCCUGCUACUCCCUCAUCCUGGAAGAGCCCCAGAGAAUAGGGGCCAUGCCCAUGCCCGCUGUGUCCCCUGCACCCCACGCAGGCUGGGGCACAGCAGCCACAGGACACAGGUGCGGGGUGAGUGGGGCUCCAGGGAAAGUGGGCACCCUCAGGCCUCAGCACACGGAGGCUUCCCGCCCCCACCUCCUGGGAGGCUGCCCAGUCAGGCUCCUACCUGGGUUUCCAGGUGCCUCGGUGCUCCCCCGGGAUCCUACAGCCCUGCAUGGUGAUGGGCACACUCCUCUUGUCUUCCCCAUUAGCUUGUGAAUGCCUCCAAGGCAAGACACAGCUGGGGCCAGAUCCUGUCUUCCUUCCCCACUUACUCGCUGUGUGACCUUAAGCAAGUCACUCAACACCUCUGUGCCUAUUUCCUCAUUUGGAAAAUGAAGUUAAUAAAAGCACCUAACUUAUAUGUGUUAACUAUGGAAGAUUAAAUGAAUGCAUACAAAUAAAAUGUUGUUCCCGUCUCUAUUCCCAGUGAUCAGGGUCUCGGAAUUGCUUGCUGAAUAAAUGGCUGCCUGGACAAAGGACUUUGUCCCUCUGGCCCCCUCACGUGGACUCUCUCUGGUAAUAAGGCCGUUGCUGAGCAGCGAUGAGAGGCUGAGGAGCAUAGACGGGCACCAGGCUGCCUAGGUUCAGAUGCCAGCUGCCCCCGCUCUUUGCUGUGUAACGUUGGGGGUACUCCCUCAGCCUCUCUGUUUCUGCUGUGUAAGUGAGGAUGGCUGUGCUCCUGCCUCCCUGCAGAACUGUUGGCAGGUGAAGCAGGCAACACUUAAGAGCUGCAGUGUGGGCCCUCAUGCAGAUUUUAAUAAAAAUAACUCCCCUUCCCCUCGGUGUCCCCUUCCUCCCUCUAAAGGCUGGUAAAGAAAGGCAGGGAGGAGCGCAUUUG
rnacentral:lncRNA from 1 species